UACGUAGGGUGCAAGCGUUGUCCGGAAUUAUUGGGCGUAAAGAGCUCGUAGGCGGUUUGUCGCGUCUGCUGUGAAAACUCGGGGCUUAACUCCGGGCCUGCAGUGGGUACGGGCAGACUAGAGUGCGGUAGGGGAGACUGGAAUUCCCGGUGUAGCGGUGAAAUGCGCAGAUAUCGGGAAGAACACCCGUGGCGAAGGCGGUUCUCUGGGACGGUACUGACGCUGAGACGCGAAAGCGUGGGGAGCGAACAGG
rnacentral:rRNA from 1 species